GCUAGUCAGGAAAGGGAACAGAGUCCCUGAUGGUCAUCCUACAUAUUUUCACUGCAAAGGGCUUUUUCAGUUGUAAAUAUUUCUAAUCAAAGUUUGUCAACUGAUGCUGCAGGAUACAAUUGGGAAGAGCUCCCUAUAAAACUUGGUACCUAAAUUUAACUAGGAACUUGUUUUAAACUUAUGCCACAGUUGAAAACUCACCAAUAUAAUUUGAAAAUCAUAUUUGAAAGACUGCAAGAUUUUUUCACCCUUUGAAGAGAAGAACUUCUUUGGAAAUUUGGAUGAUGGGACAGAGUAUCCUCAAGUUCGCUCAUGGCAUAAAACCAGGAGGAGUGGCUGAUACACCAGGCUUAUUGGACUUCUCUACAAGGAUGACCUGACAGUAAUGCUGAGCAUGUUUGUGUGGGGCAUGUGUUUGCUUUUUGGAUUGUGCCAAUAUGGCCCACUUCCUGAACAGAAAAGUGCCAGCAUGACUGUGGCUACAGCCCAUUCAGCUGCUGAAAUUAAUAGAAUGCUGUGCUUUAAUCCAUAAUGACAUAUCCUGGUUACUAAGAAGGAGGUUCAGGGGCCAUCAAGGUGCUAGCUCCCAGGUAAGCUGUCUGGUAUGUGGAUGGAUCAUACAGUAAGCAUGUCACUGGACUGCCAGACCUCUAUCACACACAACUUGAGAACAGCUCAGCAAAUAUCAGCACUGACUACUGGAGACAGUAAAGGAACAUAAAAAGGGAUUGCUAAAGUUCUGUUCCUUACAGGAUUUCUGGCUCAUGGUGACAAGCUAUUUCUGAUUAAUGUCCUGGUAUUAAAGCCCCCACAUUUUCAAGGUGAAUUUCCAGUGACCUUUGAAAAGAACUCUUGCCUUUCCAUUUCUUUCAUACUUUUAUUUUAAUCUUAUUCUAGCUGGUAAUGUCAGAAGGCAUGAAAAUCAGAAAAAUGUGUCAUUACUCAGCAAUCUUGUUGCUCAGCUGGGCUGUAUUCUCCAUAAGCUGCAUUCAGUACUUUGCUCAUUGAAACACCAGUGUGCAGGUUGCCCAGAACACAUGUUGCAUUAUAGGGUCUCUGCCAGGGGGACAUUGGAUAAGAAGACCUCAUGUGGCAGGCGUGGUGGCUCAGCACGUUCCAUUUGUGGAGCACACUUUAUUAAACAGAGAGUAUGUAAGUGGGCUAAUUCAUCAAGGCUUCGUGGGUUUGUACUGGUGACAGAAGCCUCCUCUUUGAAUUUUCUUGUUGAGCUGCUAAUUGUCAUUUGGCACUCCACAUUGCUACAUGGGUCAGGGGUGUUAAGGAGCAGAAAUGGAGCAUGUUUACCUCAGUAAACUAAGUAGCCUUGGACAGAUGUUGUCCAUAAGCUUGCCUGGGGUUCAGAACUUAGCUACCUCCUCAUCCAAAGCGCACUGAGACACUUCAUCUGGAAAGCAUUAUCUACCAAAAUGUGUGAACAAAGGCAUUCCUCACAAAAUUUUUUUGUGGGUGCCACCCUCAUUAGAAAGCUAGAGCAUGAAGACAUCCUCCUCUACAUAAAUGUAAUGGUAAUAGCAACAUAAUGUAAUGUAAUGUAACGUAAUGUAACGUAAUGUAAUGGUUUCAGAGCCUUCAGCUUUGAGGUAUAGGAAAUCUGGAUCCAGAUCCUCUUCAUCUUAUAAACAUGAAGAUUCAGAUCUCCCACCUGAGUGCCUUAAACCCUGGCUAUGGGGAAGGAAAGAGAAGUGAACAUAGUUUAUUUUGUCAAAGUAAAUGCAAAAAAGAAAGUUAAAGCCAGAGAACAAGAGGGAGAUCUGGGCAAUUUCCUGAAGGAGGGACUCCUGGACUUUUGAUCUAUACUUUCAGAUAACUAUUCCUGUUUAUUAUAUCAAGAAAUCACUGCAUGAAAAGAACUGAAUUGAAAAAACCCAAAACAAACUCUUUUCAUGGGCCUAAGUGUUUUUGAAUCUAACCAUAGUUCCUUUCGUUGCUCACUUUUAUGGUGCUCUAUCUGUUUGAUGCUUCUGCAGUCAAUUCCCUUCAUUUUACUGUAGCAAGCAUGGUGGCUUGUUACUGUAACUUUAUUUCUGAGAACAGUGACAUGCCUGUAAGCUGUGGGUGUACAUGCAGAAUAUGUAUUAUGUAUGCCUUAGCCUCACUUCCCAGAGCAGAGGUAUUAUUCUUACUUUGGCUCACUUAGUAAUUUCACUAAUGGCUGGGAGAAGAAUAAUGGAAAUCUGGAGAUUUGGCUCAUGAGAUACAGCUGCUGUGCUGUGAGUAAAGCCCCCUUUGGAGAUAUCAUUUGGGGCCAAUUUCCUUAUUUUGUAGUCAGGCAAAACUCCCAUUGACGUCAAUGGGAAUUUUCCUUCCAUAAAAAAUGGGGGCUCAGGUUUGGCUCUGAUUGUUUUGUCAGCUUGGACCACUUCAGAUAAUGCCAUUAUUCUGAACACCCAUUGGUGGGCAGAAUGCCCCUGUAAUGUAUUUAAGAUAUCCUCAGGUUGCAUAAAGAAGUAAACUUAGGAAAAACAAGUCAUCAGCAGCCUUUUUUUUUAGUCCUCCCUAAUGCAUCUUGUAUGAGUUGUUGGACCUCCUCAUACACAUAAAGACAGCAGGUAUUUUGAAUUUAAUCUUUCAAAAUGUCUUUUAAAUCAGACAUAUGGUAAUAGCUUGUAAGUAGAAAUGUUUAUAAAAAUGCAUCACAUUCAGGGAUAUUCAUAAAUGUGAACCACUUACUCUACCCCAAGCUUAGGAAAAGUAAAUGUUAUCCAUUUUCACAUAGUUUUUUAGCCAAAGUCUUUUAAGCAUAUAACUUUACAGCUUUCAUAAAAAGGGAAUAAAAAUGAAAAAUGUGUUUUGCAAUGAAUCUGCCACUGAUAUGAGUGUUCAGUUAAAUGGACCAUGCAAGAAAAGGGGAAAGAUUUGCUACUGGGGUAUUGCCAGUGAUAUCCUUUGACACUUCUAUGGUCUCAUGUGUUCCCGAUCAAGCAGUACAGAGCACUGGAAAAUCCCAAACCAAUUAGCUUGAAACUAGAGCAGUCUGUAUACAUUUGAUAUGCAGUCAGAGGACUCUGACUUGAAAUGAUUGGCACUGAACUAUGGCCUUUCUAUUAACUUACCUUAAACCAUUUUUGCACUUUUGUUGACACAGAAAUUCACCAACUCUAUUUAUACCCUGGAAAAUUGCAUGUUUCUGCUUAGACAACAGAUUCAAACUGUGUUUUUACUAGUGGCAGCCAUUUGGAAUUCUUUCCUACCACACUGUAUCCCAUUUCACUUUAAAUCUCCUCUUCUGGACACACACAAGAUUCAGUUCUGUAAAAUCUAGUUACCAAAUCUGGUAAUUUAUCAUUGACAUUACCUAGCUAAAUAUGUAACUGGUUCUAGUCCAGCUCUUAAAUUCGUUGUAUUUUGUUCCCAUCACAUAAAUUUCAGUUUUCCUGGUGCAGUUCAGUACAGUUCCCGGUGUAAGAUGCAGGCUGCCAUACAUGUUGUCCUGCAUGUGCAGAGACAAGAGUAUCAGCUGUGCUGUCUUUGUCUUCAGCCCCAGCUCUCCCUCUUGUCCUUCUGUGCAGCUGGUUUGAGGACAGAUGACUAUGAAAGGACUAUAGAUGACUAUAACAAGGACUGUUAGUUGAUUACAUUUCAGCCACUGUUCAAACACUUAGAGCUGGUGAAUGCUGAGAUGGCUCAUAGAGUUCCUCCCACCUUUGUGGUGCAUUCCAGGAAGAAUCAGGAAGGGAAGUUCCAGGGAAGAGCAGACAACACUCCUGAUGGCAGAAAGCCUGCCUGUAAUCUGACCUGGGAACCAAUGUUGAGUUCCCGUGGUUUCUCUACCUGUAAUCUUUUGGUUUUGGUGCGAGCCCUCAAACACCAGGUAGCGAGAGAGCUGUUGGCCUGGGGAGACAACUCCUCUGCUGUCCAACCAUUCAUGAAAGAAAGGGGAACCCUAAGGAAAGACUACAUAUUUCCAUCUUCUACUCGGUCACACACUUAUACACUUAGAAAGAUGUAUUUAGAGCAUAGUAGAAGCUCUUAAUGAAGUGUGAAAAACAGAAUGCUCCAGAGAGUAGUUUUCCUUGUGAAGCUAAAAAGCGGAAGUGCAUCAUGAAUAUAUUUGCAUUUUUGCUACACGCUGGCUUACCUUCCAGAAAGCUGAAGUCUUCCUUUUCCAGUGCUACAAAUCUGGAACUACUCAUAAUGAUUAAAUUCCCUUAAAGAAAAAUAAGAAAGAGUGAAAAAGAAUUAUUUACUGGGGCCAAGGAAUGCACAAACUACUGAAAGAAGAAUUUUAUAACUGUUUAACACAAUAUAACAGAGAUGUUAUGCCAGUCUUCAGGAUAAAAAAAAUAGUCCCAUGAGGAAUUCAGCUUCUUACUUGCUGUCUUAUGUAAUUUCAUUCUUCUCUGUAUAGAUACUGUUUAGUUUUAAGUACAAAAGUAGUAUCAGAUUUGUUUUUCAUAUGCAAGAAAUCCUAUUUCCAUCAGUUAACCUACUGUGACUGAAUUUGUGUUCUUGGGCAUAAGGAAAGAUACUUAGAUCAUUUUUCAAACAACUGACAUGUAAAGGACCUGCCACUACUCUUCCAAACACACCCAAUACAGAUGCAUCUUGGUCUUUGCUGGUAGAGAAUGCAGUUCAGGAUUUUGCUCUCUUCAUGGCAACUCAGUUUUCCUCUUUGGCUACACUGACCACUGCAUCCUGAGCAGGCCCAUGGACUCCCUGCCCUGCAUAUGGACAGUUGACCCCUACAGUAGAGAAAAUGGGACAGAUGUCAGUCUCAGGGACGAGUGCCAUGAGAAACUGUGAUUGUUAAAAAUGUUUCCUUCUCCUCCUUGUCUAUACACCUCCUGGGAAAAGUCCCUGCCCUUCACAUUAUUUGGGAGAGUAUUAAUUGUCUCAUGUCACAACUGGGAAGUAUUCUAACAGUUACAUUUAACAGAUCAUCCUGGGAAGUUGUUCAAACUGAUGUCCUGACUGUAAUUGUUUUACUAGCAGAAAUGUAGUCCAAAAUAUCACAAAUCCUCCCCAUUAAACUUGGAACACUAAGGAGCACUUGAACUGGUUUGCAUGGCAAGCACAAAUCUUAGUGUGAUAUGAGUUCUCAUUGUUCUUUCUGAAUUAAACUGAAGUCUCACUCAAUAUUGCUAGUUAGUAGUAAUUUGGGAAGGGAAAAAUGGUGAAGACAAGUAAGAACAGCAUUAAGAAAUAAGCCUUUAAAAUGUUGAAUAAAUGUAUCUAUGUAGUUUUUAAAAAAAAUGAUGGACAUCUCUCAAGACUGCUGAAAUAAUAUUAUCCCUCCAUUUUUCCCCAUUCCUUUGUCUAACCAAGAAUAAUUCAGUACAGCUGAAAUUUGGAAGCUGAAUUGAAAUGCAACUGGGACUAAUCCCAGUAAAGUUACUUGCCUCAUGCCAGCUAUUGACUUCAGUACAAUGAGUAAUUUUAAUUGCAUCAUGAGUGUCUGAAACACCUUCUGUUCAACAGGCCUCUUGGAAAAGUGAAGGUUUUUUUGCUGGGAUAAAUCCUUUUUAUUUCUUUCUUUUUUACAGUGUGUGAGGACUUAAAAAUAACUUAAUCAUCAAACUGCAGACUAAAUUAACAGUAGUGUUCAGAACAAAGCAAAAGGACUGGAAAACAUGCAACUCUUUAUAAUUAAUUUUCAGUCCCUGUGGGAAAAUGAACAAAUGUCAUUUAAGCUGAAAAGUAAUUAUAUUUUGCAUAUUGCUACAUGGACACCUACAGAAGUGUGAGUCUGGCAUUCUCACAUUUAUUGAGACAAAGAGAAAAUCCAAACUUUUACUUGCAACUGUAUUAUUUUUUCUUAAUUAUUUUAGACCUUUCAUCUAUUGUAUCAUGAACUUUUUUACAGAGAAAAACAAACAAUCCAGUAAUAAAAUUUGUGUAAUUUAAUGGUUUUAACUUCCUUUCUUGUGAAGUGGUCAAAAAGAGCAUGUUUAUUCUAUUUUCGUUAGAGAACAUUUUGGCAAAAACUUAAUUUUGGAAUAACUUCCUUGACAUUUCACUUACCAGUGUAAAGAAGAAUGAAGAGGGGCAAAAAAGAAUUUCCACCUGGACACUUCUUCUUUGAUGCUGCCAUUAUUCUGUGACAGCCAUCAGCUAUUCAAAAUCUUCCUCAGUUACAAGAGAGAAUGAUAUUUAUGUGUUAAUAAUGUAUGUUAUAUUUGUUAUGUUAUAUGUUAUUUUUCGCAGUAUGAUUUGUUUACCUUCAACUUUGAAGUUCACAGUUAUCCUAAUCAUUUUGCUUGAUGAAUCAUCUAAAACUGCUCCUAAUCUGCAUGAGAUAUAGGCUUUGGAAACUAAAAAGAGCUUCAGGAACUCACCAGUUCUGAAGAUCAUUUUUGCAGUAUCAGGAUCAAAGCAAAAGUGUUCCUGAAAUUCCUUCUCAGCAGAAGAUAGUGUUUCAGGAAAUCAUCACUAAGUCAAAAACAUGUAUGGUACAUUGAUGUACAACAUCCCUGAAGAGUGUGUCUGUAUCACAUUAAAUGCCACAUUAGCCCAAUAUAACAUGUGUGAUGUAUAGGCUUGACUAUGCCUCUGCACAGUUAAAAUAGAUUUAUAGAUCAGUGUUUUCCUUAUGUGUCAGGAGAGUUGUUGGAAAAAAGUACCCCAUAGUAUCAGGAAGUGGGGAAAACCUGGGAAUGUGGUUGCAUGUAAGGAUAGAAACCCCUAAUAAACACUGUACUCUGAAA